GCCUACGGGACGCAGCAGUGGGGGAUAUUGCACAAUGGGGGAAACCCUGAUGCAGCGACGCCGCGUGUGGGAAGACGGUCUUCUGGAUUGUAAACCACUGUCCCCAGGGACGAAAAUGACGGUACCCAAGGAAUAAGCCCCGGCUAACUACGUGCCAGCAGCCGCGGUAAUACGUAGGGGGCAAGCGUUGUUCGGAAUGACUGGGCGUAAAGGGUGUGUAGGCGGUGUAGCAAGUUAGAAGUGAAAUACCUAGAGCUUAACUCAGGUGCUGCUUCUAAAACUGCUAUACUUGAGUGCAGUAGAGG
rnacentral:rRNA from 1 species